AUGAUUUCACCGCCCCCGGUGAUGCAAUCCUCCGCGGCGAGGCCCGCCUUGGCCGGGUUCCGCCAUGCCGCCGCCUGCUCCAGCUCCCGCCGGACGGUCCGGUGCGCGGUGGCCGUCGCGUCGGCGGCGCCGGCCGGGAGGUGCACGCUGUACGAGGUGCUCGGGCUGCGGGCCGGCGCCACGCGCGGCGAGAUCAAGGCCGCCUACCGGCGACUGGCUCGGGAGCGGCACCCGGACGUGGCCGGCGCGGCCGGCGACGACUUCAUCCGCCUGCACGACGCCUACGCCACGCUCUCCGACCCGGACGCCCGCGCGCGCUACGACCGCGACGUCGUCGUGCAGGCCUACGCGCAGCCGCCCGCUGCCAGGCCGGACGGCGUCUGGGGCCGGCCUCGCCGCACGUGGGAGACAGACCAGUGCUGGUAG
rnacentral:rRNA from 1 species